CACAGGGAGGACCAGGAGAGGGGAAACCCCCCCUACUUCUCCAACUCAGCAAGAAAUUAACAAAUUGGAUGUGUUUUUGGAUGAAAUUCGAAUGCAUGUGAUCAAUUUCUCAUUCAUCUAAGGGUUUCCAACAUGGUGAGUCAUGUCAACAUGGACACAAGCAUGGAAGCGUAACGGGUCGAAGGUAAACACGGAAGCUAUGCGAAAAUUCGGACGCACGAGGUACGAGGUUGUCGGAUUCAUGAGGAAUUGAAGCCGACAUUGGACAAGGGGUUUAAAAGGAUAAUUAAAUGAUUCCAUAUUUAUAUUGUAGAAUGUUAUACGAUGUUCAAUCAUAUAGGAUAAUGGUGUAUGGUAGUGUCUAUGACUAAUAGUUAUGUUGUUUAUGAUGUCCACCGGAACCACACAGAUCUCCUCUUUCACUAGUGAAGAUAAGCGGGCACAGUUCGAGUCAAAAGGCGAGGAUUGUUGUAAGACCUUUGGUCAUUUUAUACGAUUACAUACAAACAUCGACUAUAUCUAUGUAUUAUUGAAUAAAAUUACAGCGGAAAGUCCGAGUUUGUUAAAACAUUUUAACAUCUUGUAUGAAUUUUCGCCGUUUCAGACGACGAAACUUUUAACGGA